UGGACGAGAGCCCACUGGCUAGCCAAGAAGACCUGCCGAUGCAGCCACAUUGCAUCAUCCACGCCGCAAAAACUCACCUUGUGCAACCGUCGCCAUGGCUGCCGGACGGAACUGCCAACAGAGGGCGUGCAUAGGCAAGUCAUUCUUGGCUACCAAAAGGGGCUCUCCAUC
rfam:Zea mays cultivar B73 chromosome 4, whole genome shotgun sequence.